CCUACGGGCGGCAGCAGUGAGGAAUAUUGGUCAAUGGACGAGAGUCUGAACCAGCCAAGUAGCGUGAAGGAUGACUGCCCUAUGGGUUGUAAACUUCUUUUAUAUGGGAAUAAAAUGUUCCACGUGUGGGAUUUUGUAUGUACCAUAUGAAUAAGGAUCGGCUAACUCCGUGCCAGCAGCCGCGGUAAUACGGAGGAUCCGAGCGUUAUCCGGAUUUAUUGGGUUUAAAGGGAGCGUAGGUGGAUUGUUAAGUCAGUUGUGAAAGUUUGCGGCUCAACCGUAAAAUUGCAGUUGAUACUGGCAGUCUUGAGUACAGUAGAGGUGGGCGGAAUGCGUGGUGUAGCGGUGAAAUGCUUAGAUAUCACGAAGAACUCCGAUUGCGAAGGCAGUUCACUGGACUGCAACUGACACUGAGGCUCGAAAGUGUGGGUAUCAAACAGGAUUAGAUACCCCUGUAGUC
rnacentral:rRNA from 1 species